rnacentral:rRNA from 1 species
GAUGAACGCUAGCGGCAGGCUUAACACAUGCAAGUCGAGGGGUAUAGGUUUUCGGACCUAGAGACCGGCGCACGGGUGCGUAACGCGUAUGCAAUCUACCUUUCACAGAGGGAUAGCCCAGAGAAAUUUGGAUUAAUACCUCAUAGUAUAGCAGUUUCGCAUGAAACCACUAUUAAAGUUCCAACGGUGAAAGAUGAGCAUGCGUCCCAUUAGCUAGAUGGUAAGGUAACGGCUUACCAUGGCUACGAUGGGUAGGGGUCCUGAGAGGGAGAUCCCCCACACUGGCACUGAGACACGGACCAGACUCCUACGGGAGGCAGCAGUGAGGAAUAUUGGUCAAUGGACGCAAGUCUGAACCAGCCAUGCCACGUGCAGGAUGACGGUCCUAUGGAUUGUAAACUGCUUUUGUACGAGAAGAAACAACAUUACGUGUAAUGUCUUGACGGUAUCGUAAGAAUAAGGAUCGGCUAACUCCGUGCCAGCCGCCGCGGUAAGAC